GAUGAACGCUGGCGGUAUGCCUAACACAUGCAAGUCGUACGAGAGUUUUUAACUCUAGUGGCGGACGGGUGAGUAACACGUGAGAAUUUGCCUUUAGGAGGGGGAUAACAAUUGGAAACGAAUGCUAAUACCCCAUAUGCUUUUGAGUGAAAUGGAUUUUAUCCGCCUAGAGAGAAGCUCGCGGCUGAUUAGCUUGUUGGUAAGGUAAGAGCUUACCAAGGCGACGAUCAGUAUCUGGUUUGAGAGGACGAUCAGACACACUGGAACUGAGACACGGUCCAGACUCCUACGGGAGGCAGCAGUGGGGAAUUUUCCGCAAUGGGCGAAAGCCUGACGGAGCAAUACCGCGUGAGGGAAGAAUGCCUAUGGGUUGUAAACCUCUUUUUUCAGGGUAGGAAUAAAAUGACGUGUACCUGAAGAAUAAGCAUCGGCUAACUCCGUG
rnacentral:rRNA from 1 species